GGAGGAGUGUGUGUGUGUGUGUGUGUGUGUGUGUGUGUGUGUGUGUGUGUGUGUGUGUGUGUGUGUGUGUGUGUGUGUGUGUGUGUGUGUGUGUGUGUGUGUGUGUGUAAUGAAAGCGCUCUAAAUGACAGUGGGUUGACAGUGGGAUCGGCUGGUAAAUGACUGCGGAGAGGUUCGCCUGCAGAGAGGGAUGGAGGAGGCUCCCAGUAGGCCUGAUUAAUUCCUCUCUUGGCGGCUGCCGUGGGGGGAGGCGAGGGGGAGAGAGCGGGAGAGAGAGAGAGAGAGCGAGGGGAAAGAGAGAGCGGGGUUAGCGGCGUGCUGGAAGAGGAGCCUAUUACCAACAGCGGCGCUGAAACUGAUAUAAUCAGCUACACUGCGACCCGGCCUUCCUCCCUCACACAAACUUUUCCAGGGCUCGUCCCCGUUGGUUCCACUCUUAGGGGACUUAAAGAUGGUGGCGGUGGUGGCGGUGGCGGCGGCGGCGGGGAGGGGUGAGGUGAGGGAGGGUGUUCAGUUUGGGUGAGGAGUACGAAGGAUUGUCUUUUUUCUGAGAUGGUUAGGGAGCUUUGUAAGAAAUCCUCUCUGCCGCUCCGUCUCCUCCUCCUCGCUAUCUCGCUCCCCCACGCCUCGCUCUACGCUUUGAUAGUGACAGACCCUCCCGUGUGGCGGCGGCGGCGGCGGCUUUAAGUCCAGUGAGAUAUGAAUACGUGGCAGCUCUUAAUCCUCUCAGACUGAGCCGAUACGGAGUGUUUAUCUGAUGAGAGGGUCUUCCUCUGACGUGUGCUCACCUGUGGUUUCAGGUACGCCUCCUGAGCGGGUCACAUGACCAACAGGUGUGUUUGUAGGUCUGACAUCAGUUCACCGGAUCAACCAAAACACAGUCCAGUCUGUACAUCCUGCUGUGACCUCACACCUUUAGUAAAUGAAGUUCAGUUCAUUUAGUUUAGUUAAUUUAGUUUAGUGCAGUUAAUUAGGUUUACUUAAUUAAGUUAAUUAAGUUAGUUUAGUAAAGUUAAUUAGGUUUAGUUAAUUUAGUUAAUUAAGUUAGUUUAGUAAAGUUAAUGAGAUUUAGUUAAUUUAGUUAAUUAAGUUAGUUUAGUAAAGUUAAUUAGGUUAAGUUAAUUAAGUUAAUUAAGUUAGUUUAGUAAAGUUAAUUAGGUUUAGUUAAUUAAGUUAAUUAAGUUAGUUUAGUAAAGUUAAUUAGGUUUAGUUAAUUAAGUUAAUUAAGAUAGUUUAGUAAAGUUAAUUAGGUUUAGUUAAUUUAGUUAAUUAAGUUAGUUUAGUAAAGUUAAUGAGAUUUAGUUAAUUUAGUUAAUUAAGUUAGUUUAGUAAAGUUAAUUAGGUUAAGUUAAUUAAGUUAAUUAAGUUAGUUUAGUAAAGUUAAUUAGGUUUAGUUAAUUAAGUUAAUUAAGUUAGUUUAGUAAAGUUAAUUAGGUUUAGUUAAUUAAGUUUGUUAGUUUAGAAAAGUUAAAUAAAUUAAGUAAAGUUAAUUUAAUAACGUUAAAAAUUUUGUUAAGUUAAUUAAGUAAAGUUAAUUAGGUUAAUUUAGUAAAGUUCAUUAUGUAAAGUUGAUUUAGUUCAGUAAAGUUAAAUAAGUUUAGUGACGUUUAUCAAGUUACGUUUAAUUAGUAAAGUAAAUUCAGUUAAUUAAGUAAAGUUAAUCAGUGAAGUUGUUACGUUUAGUUAAUUUAGUGAAGUUAAUUAAGUUAGUAAACUUAAGUUAGUAAAUUUGAGUUAAUUAAGUUUAGUAUAUUUAGUAUAUUUAGUAUAGUUAGUUUAGUUAAGCUAAUUAAUUGAAGUGAAGUUAAUAUUGUGAAGUUUAGUUUGUUUAAUUAAGUUAAUUUAUUGAAGUUGACUUCCUCGACCCAAACAAAGUGGGCGGAGCAUCAACAGAACUAAGGCGGUGAUUGGUAGAGUCUUACUGAAUCAUUCUGACCUCAGUGACACUUCAGGUCCUCAGCUCAAAGCUGAUUGGAUAAUAUUAUCAACACUUUGGUGUGUGGGCGUGACCUUCAGAUCAGUUUAUGACCUUUGAAUGACCUUCAGAAAAGCUCUUCACCUUGUUCUGAUGUUUGUCGAGGACGUCUCCACCGUCUCCAGGGUCGUAUUUGAAGAACCCGUCCUGAUCCUUGGCCCAAAAACUCCAGAACCUCCAAAAACUCCAGCAGCAGCUCGGGUUUUUGUUCAGACGGCGAUCCGAAGAGGAGAGAAGUAAACAACAACAAUGUGUUUUUGUUUUAAAACGGGGAAACACCCUCUGAAAUACACUCACACACACACACACACACACACACACACACACACACACACACACACACACACACACACACACACACACACACACACACACGGACAUACACACACACACACACUCACACACACACACACUCACACACAGACACACACACACAUAGACACACACACACACACACACGGACAUACACACACACACUCACACACACACACACACACACACACACACACACACACUCACACACAG